rnacentral:tRNA from 1 species
GGCUCAGUGGUAGAGUGUGUGUUUAGCAUGCAUGAGGUCCUGGGUUCCACUCCCAG